rnacentral:lncRNA from 1 species
GUCUGCGCAGGGUUGAGACGAGACGUGAGGGUAUCGCGGGCGGUGAGGGUUGAGACGAGACGUGAGAUACGUAGCGGUCGAUAGAGCCUCCGACCCAGAUUAUUUCGGUUUAGUUAUUACCCUUAUUAUUUCUGUUGAUAGUUAGCUCAUAUGGUUCAGUAUUCAUUUACAUUUGAAAAUGUGAAUUUUCAUGAAUGUAAUAAAAGGAUUUUGUAAAAUGAAAGGUUUUCUACUCCUCGUAGUAGCGUUUUUAAAGAAUAAAGGUUUCUGAGUAGGAAACAGUUUUCAAAAGAUUUUCUAUGGAUUUAUGUUCAAAUGUUGAAUGUAUAAAUGUGAAUGGUGAAUGUAUGAAUGUAUGAAUGUAUGAAUGUAUAGUUAUUUCUAUAUUCAUUUAGUUGUGGUUGUAUCCUGUUUGUACUGUUGUACUUGUGCGACGCCGUGCAAAUACAGGGGAGACUCUGUCCGUGUGAACAGUGGAAUCCCUGUAUUUGUGGCGGAUCUAGCAUACUCUGGGGUUAGAUUUUCAAAAAAAAAAAAUUUAGACGCUUUUU